GGCUGGUCCUAUAGUACUGAGUUAUCAGAACUUACUAACAUUAGUGUCACUAAAGUUGGUAUACAACUCCCCAAUGCUAAAUUUGACAGGCUUUAG
ensembl:misc_RNA Y_RNA Y RNA